GAUGAACGCUGGCGGCGUGCUUAACACAUGCAAGUCGAACGGUGAAGCAGAGCUUGCUCUGUGGAUCAGUGGCGAACGGGUGAGUAACACGUGAGCAACCUGCCCCUGACUCUGGGAUAAGCGCUGGAAACGGCGUCUAAUACUGGAUAUGAGCUGCGACCGCAUGGUCAGCAGUUGGAAAGAUUUUUCGGUCUGGGAUGGGCUCACGGCCUAUCAGCUUGUUGGUGAGGUAAUGGCUCACCAAGGCGUCGACGGGUAGCCGGCCUGAGAGGGUGACCGGCCACAAUGGGACUGAGACACGGCCCAGACUCCUACGGGAGGCAGCAGGGGGGAAUAUUGCACAAUGGGCGAAAGCCUGAUGCAGCAACGCCGCGUGAGGGAUGACGGCCUUCGGGUUGUAAACCUCUUUUAGCAGGGAAGAAGCGAAAGUGACGGUACCUGCAGAAAAAGCGCCGGCUAACUACGUG
rnacentral:rRNA from 1 species